UACGUAGGGUGCAAGCGUUGUCCGGAAUCAUUGGGCGUAAAGCGCACGUAGGCGGCCUCAAAAGUCGGAUGUGAAAUCCCGUGGCUCAACCAUGGACGUGCAUUCGAAACUGCGAGGCUUGAGUAUGGAAGAGGGUCGCGGAAUUCCCGGUGUAGAGGUGAAAUUCGUAGAUAUCAGGAGGAACACCGGUGGCGAAGGCGGGUCUCUGGGCCGAUACUGACGCUGAGGAGCGAAAGCGUGGGGAGCGAACAGG
rnacentral:rRNA from 1 species